ensembl:misc_RNA Y_RNA Y RNA
GGCUGGUCCCAAACAAAGGUAAUGAGUUAUCUCAAUUGAUUGUUCACAAUCAGCUAUAGAUCUAACUCUUUGUUUUAUUCUUUCCUCCCCUUCUCACUAGUCUUCUUGACUGGUCUUGU